UGGGGGAUAUUGCACAAUGGGGGAAACCCUGAUGCAGCGAUGCCGCGUGGAGGAAGAAGGUUUUCGGAUUGUAAACUCCUGUCGUAAGGGAAGAGAAAGGACUGUACCUUACAAGAAAGCUCCGGCUAACUACGUGCCAGCAGCCGCGGUAAUACGUAGGGAGCGAGCGUUGUCCGGAAUGACUGGGUGUAAAGGGAGCGUAGGCGGGAUGGCAAGUCAGAUGUGAAAACUGAGGGCUCAACCUUCAGACUGCAUUUGAAACUGCUGUUCUUGAGUGAGGUAGAGGUAAGCGGAAUUCCUGGUGUAGCGGUGAAAUGCGUAGAGAUCAGGAGGAACAUCGGUGGCGAAGGCGGCUUACUGGGCCUUUACUGACGCUGAGGCUCGAAAGCGUGGGGAGCAAACGGGAUUAGAUACCCUGGUAGU
rnacentral:rRNA from 1 species